UACAGAGGUCUCAAGCGUUGUUCGGAUUCAUUGGGCGUAAAGGGUGCGUAGGCGGCGCGGUAAGUCGGGUGUGAAAUCUCGGAGCUUAACUCCGAAACUGCAUUCGAUACUGCCGUGCUUGAGGACUGGAGAGGAGACUGGAAUUUACGGUGUAGCGGUGAAAUGCGUAGAUAUCGGGAGGAACACCAGUGGCGAAGGCGACUUCCUGGCCUGUUCUUGACGCUGAGGCGCGAAAGCUAGGGGAGCGAUCCGG
rnacentral:rRNA from 1 species